AUUGAACGCUGGCGGAAUGCUUUACACAUGCAAGUCGAACGGCAGCACGGGGCAACCUGGUGGCGAGUGGCGAACGGGUGAGUAAUACAUCGGAACGUGCCCAAUCGUGGGGAUAACGUAGCGAAAGUUACGCUAAUACCGCAUACGAUCUACGGAUGAAAGCGGGGGAUCGCAAGACCUCGCGCGAGUGGAGCGGCCGAUGUCAGAUUAGGUAGUUGGUGGGGUAAAGGCUCACCAAGCCAACGAUCUGUAGCUGGUCUGAGAGGACGACCAGCCACACUGGAACUGAGACACGGUCCAGACUCCUACGGGAGGCAGCAGUGGGGAAUUUUGGACAAUGGGCGCAAGCCUGAUCCAGCCAUUCCGCGUGCAGGAUGAAGGCCUUCGGGUUGUAAACUGCUUUUGUACGGAACGAAACGGCGAGCUCUAAUACAGUUUGCUAAUGACGGUACCGUAAGAAUAAGCACCGGCUAACUACGUG
rnacentral:rRNA from 1 species